AGGGGGGAGGACUACACAUGCAAGUCGAACGGUAGCACAGAGAGCUUGCUCUCGGGUGACGAGUGGCGGACGGGUGAGUAAUGUCUGGGAAACUGCCUGAUGGAGGGGGAUAACUACUGGAAACGGUAGCUAAUACCGCAUAACGUCGCAAGACCAAAGAGGGGGACCUUCGGGCCUCUUGCCAUCAGAUGUGCCCAGAUGGGAUUAGCUAGUAGGUGGGGUAACGGCUCACCUAGGCGACGAUCCCUAGCUGGUCUGAGAGGAUGACCAGCCACACUGGAACUGAGACACGGUCCAGACUCCUACGGGAGGCAGCAGUGGGGAAUAUUGCACAAUGGGCGCAAGCCUGAUGCAGCCAUGCCGCGUGUAUGAAGAAGGCCUUCGGGUUGUAAAGUACUUUCAGCGGGGAGGAAGGUGUUGAGGUUAAUAACCUCAUCAAUUGACGUUACCCGCAGAAGAAGCACCGGCUAACUCCGUGCCAGCAGCCGCGGUAAUACGGAGGGUGCAAGCGUUAAUCGGAAUUACUGGGCGUAAAGCGCACGCAGGCGGUCUGUCAAGUCGGAUGUGAAAUCCCCGGGCUCAACCUGGGAACUGCAUUCGAAACUGGCAGGCUAGAGUCUUGUAGAGGGGGGUAGAAUUCCAGGUGUAGCGGUGAAAUGCGUAGAGAUCUGGAGGAAUACCGGUGGCGAAGGCGGCCCCCUGGACAAAGACUGACGCUCAGGUGCGAAAGCGUGGGGAGCAAACAGGAUUAGAUACCUGUGGUAGUCC
rnacentral:rRNA from 1 species